GCAGGCUGGACUGACGCAGCUGUGAUGUCAGCGACAGGCCGCAGGCGGUGGCCAGCCCAGUGCGAACGGUGAGCUCUCUGCUGGCCUGGAGUGGUGCCUCCCCCCCGGGGUGUGUGUGGGGGGGUGGCCUGCUGCCCCCCUUAACCCCUUCCCGGCCUCGUUUUCCCAGACAGCCAUCCCCCGGGCCUGGCCUUGCCCACAAGAUUCCCAGAUUUCACAACCGGGGCUGGCGCUGAAUCAUGUACACUACAGUUUCCUGAUCUGGAGGAUGGGCAUAAUCACAGGACUGACCUCAUGGGGCCAGUGCGAGGAUUAAAUGAGAUGAUCCAUGCACAGUGCUGAGCACAGUCAGCGCCCGACAAGCAGGACUGUCGCUGUUGUGAUGUCAGAGUUCCCCAGGACUUUGAAAGGCUCCAGAGAAAUCAUUCAGUCCUUGGGUGAGCCAUCCCCGCUCCCUGCCCCCUAGAACACCCACCCCUCUCCUCGUGACCCAAAUGAUUCUUAUUUUUAAAAAUGUCUUUAUUACAUCAAUAAAUAUCUGUUGAGCACUGCUGUGUUCUACCGGGUCCUGGAAAUACAGCAGUGAAUAAAAAAGAAAAAAAAAAAA